UAUUUUAUAUGCCCAAUUUUCCAGGAAGUUAUGCGAGAUCCCCAUGUAGCAGCUGAUGGUUAUACUUAUGAAGCAGAGGCUUUAAGAGGAUGGCUGGACAGUGGACACGAAACUUCGCCCAUGACCAACCUUCAGCUUGCACACAGCAAUCUGGUGCCCAACCAUGCCCUUCGAUCAGCAAUCCAGGAAUGGCUGCAGCAGCAGUAAAUUAGUAAGAGUUCUCAUUUAGUUCAACACAUUGUUUAUAUUUGUGUCUCUAUGGCCAAUAGAGAUAUUGUAAGAUUUUUAUUUGUUCUUUCUUGUCCUUGUUAUAUUGUAAGAUUAUGGGCAAUGGGACCACAUACUAUAGUCCUUUUUCUUCCCUUUUUCUGCCAUUGUGCAGAGGACAACAGACAUAAAGUUACAGUGAAUGGUUUUACCCAUUUUU
rnacentral:misc_RNA from 1 species